GACGAACGCUGGCGGCGUGCCUAAUACAUGCAAGUCGAGCGAAUCAAAGGGAGCUUGCUCCCUGAGGUUAGCGGCGGACGGGUGAGUAACACGUGGGCAACCUGCCUAUAAGACUGGGAUAACUACGGGAAACCGGAGCUAAUACCAGAUAAUUCUUUUCUACUCAUGUAGGAAAGCUGAAAGAUGGUUUCGGCUAUCACUUAUAGAUGGGCCCGCGGCGCAUUAGCUAGUUGGUGAGGUAACGGCUCACCAAGGCAACGAUGCGUAGCCGACCUGAGAGGGUGAUCGGCCACACUGGGACUGAGACACGGCCCAGACUCCUACGGGAGGCAGCAGUAGGGAAUCUUCCGCAAUGGACGAAAGUCUGACGGAGCAACGCCGCGUGAGUGAUGAAGGUUUUCGGAUCGUAAAACUCUGUUGUUAGGGAAGAACAAGUACCAGAGUAACUGCUGGUACCUUGACGGUACCUAACCAGAAAGCCACGGCUAACUACGUGCCAGCCGCCGCAGUAAAAC
rnacentral:rRNA from 1 species